rnacentral:misc_RNA from 1 species
AAUUUAAAAAUGAAGUUAUGUUGACUGCAAAACUUCAGCACAAGAAUCUUGUGAAACUCAUAGGAUGUUGCAUUCAGGGAGAAGAACCUAUCCUAGUUUAUGAAUACUUACCAAACAAAAGCUUGGACUCCUUUAUUUUUGGUAAAUAUUGUGUAUGUCUUCUAGCAUUGUAUUCCACCAUCCUCUAAUUGUCAGUUUCAGCAAUAUUAUUGAUGGACAGAUAUUUAAUAAUAACUUGGCACUGAUUUAAAUGGAAAUUUUUUGAUAGAUGAGACAAGAAGGUUGGUUUUAGAUUGGCAAAAACGCUUUGAUAUUAUUGUUGGGAUUGCCCUUGGACUCGUAUAUAUUCACCAAGACUCCGGGUUGGGAAUUAUCCAUAGAGACUUGAAAACUAGCAACAUUCUAUUGGACGAAGGAAUGAACCCAAAAAUUUCAGAUUUUGGCAUG